rnacentral:lncRNA from 1 species
CAAUCAAGUCUGGAUGAACAAAAGGGCAAAUGAAGGAUCUUUGCAUGGAUGUGUUCUUCAUUUAUCAUGGUACAUUCCUAGGAGUGGAAUUGCUGUGUCAGUUUGAAAAACAUGUUUCUCAACUAGAGAGGAACAGAAUGGACAAGUUGAAACAUUCUCAAAUAAGUCCAACACAACAAGGUCGUCAGCUGUAAGAAUGAGAGCAACAGUAUUAAACACUGGAGGUCCUGAAGCAGCUCAGGGAGGAUGAGAAGAAUAUAUCCAGGCUGAUCCAUCAAUCCCAGAAGGAGAACAAGAAACACAUGGAGCAGAGCUA